rnacentral:rRNA from 1 species
CGAACGGUAACAGGAAGCAGCUUGCUGCUUUGCUGACGAGUGGCGGACGGGUGAGUAAUGUCUGGGAAACUGCCUGAUGGAGGGGGAUAACUACUGGAAACGGUAGCUAAUACCGCAUAACGUCGCAAGACCACAGAGGGGGACCUUCGGGCCUCUUGCCAUCGGAUGUGCCCAGAUGGGAUUAGCUUGUUGGUGGGGUAACGGCUCACCAAGGCGACGAUCCCUAGCUGGUCUGAGAGGAUGACCAGCCACACUGGAACUGAGACACGGUCCAGACUCCUACGGGAGGCAGCAGUGGGGAAUAUUGCACAAUGGGCGCAAGCCUGAUGCAGCCAUGCCACGUGUAUGAAGAAGGCCUUCGGGUUGUAAAGUACUUUCAGCGGGGAGGAAGGGAGUAAAGUUAAUACCUUUGCUCAUUGACGUUACCCGCAGAAGAAGCACCGGCUAACUCCGUGCCAGCAGCCGCGGUAAUACGGAGGGUGCAAGCGUUAAUCGGAAUUACUGGGCGUAAAGCGCACGCAGGCGGUUUGUUAAGUCAGAUGUGAAAUCCCCGGGCUCAACCUGGGAACUGCAUCUGAUACUGGCAAGCUUGAGUCUCGUAGAGGGGGGUAGAAUUCCAGGUGUAGCGGUGAAAUGCGUAGAGAUCUGGAGGAAUACCGGUGGCGAAGGCG